rnacentral:lncRNA from 1 species
UUUCUGCGCUCCAAGGUCUUUGUCCUCUCUUUGGCUGCUCAGGCCUUUCCUUCUCCCUUCAAAUCUACUGUCACUGCUUCUGGGAGAUGACCUGGCUUCCCUGCUGCUGCGUGUCCUUCCAGUCUCUCUGUCCCCUUGUCAAUCUAUCUUUGUUUCUGUUUACUCAUUUCUGAUCCCCCCCCCCCCCCAGACUGAGCGUCAAAUCGACACUGACCUGUGAAGACUGUGCUUGGUUUCCUGGCUUUUCACAUUAUUUACUCUUGUCAGUAAGACCCACCAUGCAGACACACAGAGUACAUCCAGACCUGUGGACCCAAGUGACUACAGAACCAGGGGCCAUAGGUGACAUCAUGACAAAGUCCUUCUGGCUCUUCAAGGCUCAACUCGAAUGUCUGCCUCUUCUUUUGGAGGGGAUCCAGGCUUGGGUGAAAAUUUCCUCUCUUAGGGAAAGAAGACAGACUGCUGUGUUUGCCAUAUGCUGCCUCUGCGACAUGGGGAAGGGUGUCACUCUCUUCUGAGCCUCAGUUUCCCUCUGUUUACCUCACACCAUUGUCAGAGCAUUGAAGACCGACAACCUAGCAUUGUUUUGAGGCGAUAUAUUAAAUAUUCAAUGUGAGUUCGUGGUUCAAGAAACAUUCUGAGCCCUCCACACAUGACCAUGGCUUUUUUAGUUCCCUUGGCAUUCUGCUCUGCCAAGAGAUUUCUCACACAUCUGUCUUGAUUAAAAUCUCCCUGAUGGCAGAGCCACAUCUUCUUCAUCUCCGUGACCCUCGAACUUGGCCUCAUGUCUGUCAGACACUUCACCAAACUAGUAUUGAAUGGGGGCAGAAUAAAUAAUGAGACAGACACUUCGACAUCUUGUGAGAUGUUUAAAAGUCUAGAAGACUUUCUGGCCUGUACUACAAGCUUUUGUUUCACUGGCUUGUAGGAUCAUCCAUUACUCAACAGGAAGGAGAAGCGAUUAGCAAGGAAUAUCCUGGGCCACGGGGAGGAACACAGUGAAGAAAUUUAAGGACCAGGGUCAUGUUAAGAUGAAGAAAGAGAGACGUCAAGUGGGAGAGGAAGCUGUCGAACUCAGCUGUGCUCCUACCCCUCAUCACAACCCUCCUGAGAAGUGUUCUCUGCAAGAGUGAGAGAGCCCUGACAUACUUUCAGUGUUGACUGCUCAGGGCAAACACGUCUCUCCUCUGUGUCCUUCUACAUCAGCUUCCGUUGCACUCGUCUGUCUCUGAACUUGCCCUUAGUCACCUUAUGACUUCUGCUUUCCCUGAAUGAGCGUCUCACGAUGCCCCACUCACCCUACUGACCUUUGGCUUAUUUCAAAGGACAAGCAUGUGCUUACAGUUAUCCAUAUAGAGCACUAUGCUAUACAUGCCUCAAACCAUGGAUUUAAACUGCCACAUAUGGCUUUGCACAUAUUUUGAAAUCAGCUCAGAGGUUCCCUACUUUAGCUCUGAGAUGUCAGUCACCAGUGUAAGCCGCUUCUUCUUUCUAUUCUCUCCAUAUUUCUUUCUCUUUUUUCCACAUUAGUUUAUGAAACUGAAAAUCAUCUGUCUUGCUUUAUUGGAGACCAGAAGUGACGUGAGUCGCUGUCCGUGGUGCUGAAGCAACAUUGCUCAUUCUAAAGGCUGGGGAAGGCUAUGGAAAUCCCCACCAAGGAACAUUUUAUAGGUCCAUUUUAUAAUUACCUUUCUAUCCCUAACUAUAUACAAAUCUUGAUAAUUUCACUGUCACAAAAUAAUGCCUCGUGAGACAUGACAUGCACACAUGUGAGUAUUGGAUUUAUAAUAAUUUGAUAAAGUACCCGUUUCUUACAAGUUAGGGAGAAUGGUGGAAAGGCACAUAAUCCCCUGAACUUUUACUUCCGGUGAUGUUUCUGUCUAUGGUUAGAGAGGCCAGAUUGUCCUCAAAGAAGGCAACUUCACAUUAGCUUUCCAAUGACUGUGGAGUGGCUUGGUUUGUAAAGUGCUGCUUGCCACACAACCAAGACCUGAAUUUACUCUUUCAGAAUGCAUGACAAACAAGACAUGUCAAGGUGUAAUUGUAAUCCUAGCUCUGAGGUUAUUGGAACAGGAGGGUACCUGAAUAUUUAUUGGAUGGCAAAUUGGUGAGCUCCAGCUUCAGUAAGAGAGACCUUACCUUCAAAAACUAAGGUGGAGAGUCAGAGAAAGACACUAGACAUUGGCCUCCUGUUUCACACACAUAUGUGUACACAAGCAUGUGAAGUUGCACAUGAAUAUACGCAAAUGCACAUCACAAAUGAACAAAUAACAGCUCUUUAAAAUCGACUUUCCGUUUAUUCUUAGGAGCAGGUAACAGGUUUGAAGGUGUAUAGGGAAUGAACAUCUGUGAGUUUCUGUGUCUUAUUGCCCAAAGCACAAAGGUAGGUGUUUAGUUUAUAGACUUAACUAUUUUCUACUUUGUAUUUUAAGGCAAACAGCUUGUAGCCUUUCCUCUCACGAAGCUGAUAGACUAGUGGGAAUAAAUACACGAAAAUCAACAGGUUUACUUAGAGUGAUAAUUAAAAACAGAAGUGUAUAUGAGGCGCAAAUAAUCCAGAGGAGGGAGUGAUUGGCUCUUUGCAGAAAGGCAAGAAUCCUCCAUAGAGCUGUAAUGAAGGAGGCUCACUAGUACUCCAGACAAACAUGGCAUCGUAGGUGUGCUGGGCAGUUUUUGUCAACUUGACACAAACUAGAGUUCUCUGGAAAGAAGAGUUCCAAAUUGAGGAAUGCCUCCAUUAGAUUGGCCCACAGGCAUAGCUGUGGGGACAUUUUCUCAAUUGAUUGAUGAGGGUGGUGCCAACCACCCACAGAUGGUCCUGAGUUGACUAUAUAAGAAGUCAAGCUGAGCAAGCCAGGAAGUCGUUUUCCUUCCUGACUUCAGGCUCCAGUCUUGAGAGCCUCCCCUGAUUUCCGUCACAAUAGAAUGUAAGAUGGUUAAAGAGUGGGGAUUUCACUAAGAUUCAAAAUGAAUCCCAGAAAGGAAUUUUCACUUAAAGCUAGCUUUUGAUUUACUUAAAACUAAAAGCAUGGGACAUUUGAAGAGAAAAUAUGAAAUAUAGGUACUAGAUUACAGUAAAUUGCAUUUGUAUAAAAAUGUUAGUCUAGCCUACAGUUCAAUAUGGAAGGUGGUUCAGAGGUUAAAAGAGCUCACACACCAGGAAGAUUUACUACACACAUAUCUUUAUGCAGAGGACACAGCCAGCUUCCCAAAUGCAGAGUGACAUUAUUGGGAACGCAAGGAGAAAUUU